ACAGUGCAGCCUCCAGCCAGAAGGAUGGGGUGGCUCCCACUCCUGCUGCUUCUGACUCAAUGCUUAGGGGUCCCUGGGCAGCGCUCGGCAUUGAAUGACUUCCAGGUGCUCCGGGGCACAGAGCUACAGCACCUGCUACAUGCGGUGGUGCCCGGGCCUUGGCAGGAGGAUGUGGCAGAUGCUGAAGAGUGUGCUGGUCGCUGUGGGCCCUUAAUGGACUGCCGGGCCUUCCACUACAAUGUGAGCAGCCAUGGUUGCCAACUGCUGCCAUGGACUCAACACUCGCCCCACACGAGGCUGCGGCGUUCUGGGCGCUGUGACCUCUUCCAGAAGAAAGGUACACGCCCACGCUCCGGAAUGGCCUGGAAGAAAACUUCUGCCGUAACCCUGAUGGCGACCCCGGAGGUCCUUGGUGCUACACAACAGACCCUGCCGUGCGCUUCCAGAGCUGCGGCAUCAAAUCCUGCCGGGAGGCCGCGUGUGUCUGGUGCAAUGGCGAGGAUUACCGCGGCGCGGUAGACCGCACGGAGUCAGGGCGCGAGUGCCAGCGCUGGGAUCUUCAGCACCCGCACCAGCACCCCUUCGAGCCGGGUUCCUCGAUCAAGGUCUGGACGACAACUAUUGCCGGAAUCCUGACGGCUCCGAGCGGCCAUGGUGCUACACUACGGAUCCGCAGAUCGAGCGAGAGUUCUGUGACCUCCCCCGCUGCGGGUCCGAGGCACAACCCCGCCAAGAGGCCACAACUGUCAGCUGCUUCCGCGGGAAGGGUGAGGGCUACCGGGGCACAGCCAAUACCACCACCGCGGGCGUACCUUGCCAGCGUUGGGACGCGCAAAUCCCGCAUCAGCACCGAUUUACGCCAGAAAAAUACGCGUGCAAGUGAGGUGGGGGGGGGGCGGGCGUUGGGACGUGCUGCUGCGGGUGAGACGGGAGGAGGGUAGUCACCGGCUUAGGGCUGGAGGCUGGCGGGCUAGGGCUGAGUGGAGCGCCUGCUUAGAGACCUUCGGGAGAACUUCUGCCGGAACCCCGACGGCUCAGAGGCGCCCUGGUGCUUCACACUGCGGCCCGGCAUGCGCGUGGCCUUUUGCUACCAGAUCCGGCGUUGUGCAGACGACGUGCGGCCCCAGGGUGAGGCCCAAGCUUGGGGGCUACAGAGCCGGGGCUGGAAGCCUGGAACCGGAGGGCCGGGGCGAGGUCUCGGCCUGACGGCUGCCCGCACCCGCCGCAGACUGCUACCACGGCGCAGGGGAGCAGUACCGCGGCACGGUCAGCAAGACCCGCAAGGGUGUCCAGUGCCAGCGCUGGU
rnacentral:sRNA from 1 species